GUGUGCACAGCUUACGCUUCCUGGGCAAAAAUAAAUUGCAGAAGACAUUGCAAAUUCUGCCAACGUGAGUCCUAACUUGUAGCGACAAGUUGUCAGAUUGUGCAAGCUAUGGACGAAGUGCUUGCAGGGGACGUUACGAAAGCUGGGCCAAGAUAAACUGUCAGCUGUACUGCAACCUGUGCGAGUCAAGGACUAAACGUUCUGUUCUGCACGUUCAAGCACCAGAGAAAGGUGAAUUUAAUGAUGAUCGUUUAGAAUCAGAUUUGAUAAACAUGAAAGACAAUAAUGAAAUACUUUUGGUUCCCAGUAAAAAUCCUUACAGUACCGAAAUAAGACUAACGGAACCAGUAACCCAAAAUUCGGUUCCGUCCAAAGUUCAUCUCGUUCCCGAGAUUGUUAACAAGAAUUCUGUUGGUGAGGUUCCAAACGAGGGUGGAGGAGUGCCGCUCCGUCCAGUAGAGGAGUAUUCGGAGGGUCGUUUACCCUCGGGAGGGAACAGUCUGGAUAUAAACGAAAAUAUCCCGCCGGAAAAAUUGAACUCCAAGGAAGAAAGUGUGAUCGAUGAAGUUCAAAAACUAGAAAAUAUGGUGGAGGAUAGCGCCAAAAUGUGAAAACUCAUAACUUAUGAAUCUCUUGUUUUGGAAAAAUUAAAAGAUAUUUUGUAAAUUUUGUAAAAUGGGUAUCAAUUCAGAUCCAAAUUAUAGUAGUAAAUUUUGUCA